rnacentral:rRNA from 1 species
AGUGAACGCUGGCGGUAGGCCUAACACAUGCAAGUCGAACGGCAGCACAGUAAGAGCUUGCUCUUACGGGUGGCGAGUGGCGGACGGGUGAGGAAUACAUCGGAAUCUACUUUUUCGUGGGGGAUAACGUAGGGAAACUUACGCUAAUACCGCAUACGACCUACGGGUGAAAGAAGGGGAUCUUCGGACCUUGCGCGAUUGAAUGAGCCGAUGUCGGAUUAGCUAGUUGGCGGGGUAAAGGCCCACCAAGGCGACGAUCCGUAGCUGGUCUGAGAGGAUGAUCAGCCACACUGGAACUGAGACACGGUCCAGACUCCUACGGGAGGCAGCAGUGGGGAAUAUUGGACGAUGGGCGCAAGCCUGAUCCAGCCAUACCGCGUGGGUGAAGAAGGCCUUCGGGUUGUAAAGCCCUUUUGUUGGGAAAGAAAAGCAGCAGGUUAAUACCCCGCUGUUCUGACGGUACCCAAAGAAUAAGCACCGGCUAACUUCGUG